rnacentral:rRNA from 1 species
AUACGUAGGUGACAAGCGUUAUCCGGAUUUACUGGGCGUAAAGGGCGUGUAGGCGGUCUUGCAAGUCAGAAGUGAAAUUCCUGAGCUCAACUCGGGCGCUGCUUCUGAAACUGCAGGACUUGAGUGCUGGAGGGGAUAGCGGAAUUCCUAGUGGAGCGGUAAAAUGCGCAGAUAUUAGGAAGAACACCGGUGGCGAAGGCGGCUAUCUGGACAGUAACUAACGCUGAGGCGCGAAAGCGUGGGGAGCAAACAGGAUUAUAUACCCGGGUAGUCCACGCCGUAAACGAUGAAUACUAGGUGUAGGGGGUAUCGACUCCCUCUGUGCCGCAGUUAACACAAUAAGUAUUCCGCCUGGGGAGUACGGCCGCAAGGUUGAAACUCAAAUGAAUUGACGGGG